rnacentral:lncRNA from 1 species
AUGGCUUUAAAAUCGCCAGGUUUACUCGCUUUACAAACUCAACUAAUGGCUUUAAAAUCGCCAGGUUUACUCGCUUUUCAAACUCAACUAAUCGCUUUAAAAUCACCAGGUUUACUCGCUUUACAAACUCAACUAAUGGCUUUAAAAUCGCCAGGUUUACUCGCUUUUCAAACUCAACUAAUCUCUUUAAAAUCGCCAGGUUUACUUGCUUUACAAACUCAACUAAUCGCUUUAAAAUCGCCAGGUUUACUCGCUUUACAAACUCAACUAAUGGCUUUAAAAUCGCCAGGUUUACUCGCUUUACAAACUCAACUAAUCGAUUUAAAAGCGCCAGGUUUACUCGCUUUUCAAACUCAAUUAAUCGAUUUAAAAUCGCCAGGUUUACUCGCUUUACAAACUCAACUAAUCGCUUUAAAAUCGCCAGGUUUACUCGCUUUACAAACUCAACUAAUCUCUUUAAAAUCGCCAGGUUUACUCGCUUUACAAACUCAACUAAUCGAUUUAAAAGCGCCAGGUUUACUCGCUUUACAAACUCAACUAAUCGCUUUAAAAUCGCCAGGUUUACUCGCUUUACAAACUCAACUAAUCCCUUUAAAAUCGGCAGGUUUACUCGCUUUACAAACUCAACUAAUCUCUUUAAAAUCUCCAGGUUUACUUGCUUUACAAACUCAACUAAUCUCUUUAAAAUCGCCAGGUUUACUCGCUUUACAAACUCAACUAAUCGCUUUAAAAACGCCAGGUUUACUCGCUUUACAAACUCAACUAAUCUCUUUAAAAUCGCCAGGUUUACUCGCUUUACAAACUCAACUAAUCGCUUUAAAAACGCAAGGUUUACUCGCUUUACAAACUCAACUAAUCUCUUUAAAAUCGCCAGGUUUACUCGCUUUACAAACUCAACUAAUCUCUUUAAAAUCGCCAGGUUUACUCGCUUUACAAACUCAACUAAUCUCUUUAAAAUCGCCAGGUUUACUCGCUUUACAAACUCAACUAAUCGCUUUAAAAUCGCCAGGUUUACUCACUUUUCAAACUCAACUAAUCGCUUUAAAAUCGCCAGGUUUACUCGCUUUACAAACUCAACUAAUCGCUUUAAAAUCGCCAGGUUUACUCGCUUUACAAACUCAACUAAUCGCUUUAAAAUCGCCAGGUUUACUCGCUUUUCAAACUCAACUAAUCGCUUUAAAAUCGCCAGGUUUACUCGCUUUACAAACUCAACUAAUCGCUUUAAAAUCACCAGGUUUACUCGCUUUACAAACUCAACUAAUCGCUUUAAAAUCGCCAGGUUUACUCGCUUUACAAACUCAACUAAUCGCUUUAAAAUCGCCAGGUUUACUCGCUUUACAAACUCAACUAAUCCCUUUAAAAUCGGCAGGUUUACUCGCUUUACAAACUCAACUAAUCUCUUUAAAAUCUCCAGGUUUACUUGCUUUACAAACUCAACUAAUCUCUUUAAAAUCGCCAGGUUUACUCGCUUUACAAACUCAACUAAUCGCUUUAAAAUCACCAGGUUUACUCGCUUUACAAACUCAACUAAUCGCUUUAAAAACGCCAGGUUUACUCGCUUUACAAACUCAACUAAUCGCUUUAAAAUCACCAGGUUUACUCGCUUUACAAACUCAACUAAUCCCUUUAAAAUCGCCAGGUUUACUCGCUUUACAAACUCAACUAAUCGCUUUAAAAACACCAGGUUUACUCGCUUUACAAACUCAACUAAUCGCUUUAAAAACGCCAGGUUUACUCGCUUUACAAACUCAACUAAUCUCUUUAAAAUCUCCAGGUUUACUCGCUUUACAAACUCAACUAAUCGCUUUAAAAACGCAAGGUUUACUCGCUUUACAAACUCAACUAAUCUCUUUAAAAUCGCCAGGUUUACUCGCUUUACAAACUCAACUAAUCUCUUUAAAAUCGCCAGGUUUACUCGCUUUACAAACUCAACUAAUCUCUUUAAAAUCGCCAGGUUUACUCGCUUUACAAACUCAACUAAUCGCUUUAAAAUCGCCAGGUUUACUCGCUUUACAAACUCAACUAAUCGCUUUAAAAUCGCCAGGUUUACUCGCUUUACAAACUCAACUAAUCGCUUUAAAAUCACCAGGUUUACUCACUUUACAAACUCAAUUAAUCGCUUUAAAAGCACCAGGUUUACUCGCUUUACUAACUCAACUAAUCGCUUUAAAAUCGCCAGGUUUACUCACUAUUCAAACUCAACUAAUCGCUUUAAAAUCGGCAGGUUUACUCGCUUUACAAACUCAACUAAUCGCUUUAAAAUCGCCAGGUUUACUCGCUUUACAAACUCAACUAAUCGAUUUAAAAGCGCCAGGUUUACUCGCUUUACAAACUCAACUAAUCGCUUUAAAAAGCGCCAGGUUUACUCGCUUUACAAACUCAACUAAUCGCUUUAAAAUCGCCAGGUUUACUCGCUUUACAAACUCAACUAAUCGCUUUAAAAUCGCUAGGUUUACUCGCUUUACAAACUCAACUAAUCGCUUUAAAAACGCCAGGUUUACUCGCUUUACAAACUCAACUAAUCUCUUUAAAAUCUCCAGGUUUACUCGCUUUACAAACUCAACUAAUCGCUUUAAAAACGCAAGGUUUACUCGCUUUACAAACUCAACUAAUCUCUUUAAAAUCGCCAGGUUUACUCGCUUUACAAACUCAACUAAUCUCUUUAAAAUCGCCAGGUUUACUCGCUUUACAAACUCAACUAAUCGCUUUAAAAUCGCCAGGUUUACUCGCUUUUCAAACUCAACUAAUCGCUUUAAAAUCGCCAGGUUUACUCGCUUUACAAACUCAACUAAUCGCUUUAAAAUCGCCAGGUUUACUCGCUUUACAAACUCAACUAAUCGCUUUAAAAUCGCCAGGUUUACUCGCUUUACAAACUCAACUAAUCGCUUUAAAAUCGCCAGGUUUACUCGCUUUUCAAACUCAACUAAUCGCUUUAAAAUCGCCAGGUUUACUCGCUUUUCAAACUCAACUAAUCUCUUUAAAAUCGCCAGGUUUACUUGCUUUACAAACUCAACUAAUCGCUUUAAAAUCGCCAGGUUUACUCGCUUUACAAACUCAACUAAUGGCUUUAAAAUCGCCAGGUUUACUCGCUUUACAAACUCAACUAAUCGCUUUAAAAUCGCCAGGUUUACUCGCUUUACAAACUCAACUAAUCGCUUUAAAAUCACCAGGUUUACUCGCUUUUCAAACUCAACUAAUCGCUUUAAAAACGCCAGGUUUAUUCACUUUUCAAACUCAACUAAUCGCUAUAAAAAAGCAAGGUUUACUCGCUUGCUUAAGUUAAUUCAACUAAUUGCAUUUAACAAAGUGAGUUAAUCUGUUUCUUUAAAAUCGUUGAGUUGACUCUACUUCAAAAAGUAAGUAACCCUAUUGCUUUAGAAGUGAUUAGUGGACUUUUAAAAACUGAAUAAAGCUGUUGCCUUUAAAUUAUUAAGUAAAGAAAAUAUGUGCAUAAUUACAAAAAUUAAGUACUUAACACUUAAUAGUUCCGAGUUACAAAGGGUUUACUCACUUUUUAAACUAUCACGUUUUACAGUGUACAGCAAACAGUGUACAGUAAAGUCCCUCGUAGCUUCAUAUGUUCAGCAUCAUUAUUAUCAUUACUGAAAAGAGUUUCAUAUUUUUAAGAAAAUGUAUCUAUAUUUUAACAGUAAUUUCUAUUAAAUAUGUUGUCCUUCUCAACUGCAGGCACUCUAAAUAAACAUAUUAAUUUCUUCCACAUGAAGCAGUAAACCUGUUAAUGGCCGUAUGAGCAGAAGAGAAUCAGGUCAGACUGUUCAGAUGGAUUUGAUCCAUAUAUAUUGUUUGUGCUUAAUCAAAAGCUGAUGACAUGAAUGAAAGGCAUAUUGGUUUGAUUUUAGAAAAGGAACAUUUUAUUUUGUCCUCUUACGUUCAGCUUCAGAUGUUCUCUAGUCUGCCAAACACAUCAGAGCCUGAAUGACAAACAGACGCCGGUGUCACGCAGACGCAUCUCUGCUCUUCCUCUUCCUCGUCUUCUUCUUCUUUAGUUUAGUGUUUGCCGAACAGACGGCAUUAUUUCUGCUUCACAGUCCAGCAGCAGAUUCUUCAGCUGCUCAGCAGAUAAACAGACCGUCUGGAAGAGGAAAACACCAUUUCAACAACACAUUUUUCACUAUAAUCAUUCUUUAAAAAUGUCUUUUCCAUGAUGACAGCACAUAAUGUUUGACUAGAUAUUUUGUAAGAUACUAGUAAUCAGCCUAAAGUGUCAUUUAAAGACUGAACUAGGUUAAUUUUAUGGUCAAUAUUAUUAGCCCCCUUAAGAAUUUCUUUUUUCU